AGAGUUUGAUCAUGGCUCAGGACGAACGCUGGCGGCGUGCCUAAUACAUGCAAGUCGAACGCUUCUGCUUUAAUUGAUGCUUGCAUCGACCUAAGUUAGAAGAGUGGCGAACGGGUGAGUAACACGUGGGUAACCUGCCCAUCAGAGGGGGAUAACACUUGGAAACAGGUGCUAAUACCGCAUAACACUAAAAACCGCAUGGUUUUUAGUUGAAAGGCGCUCUUGGUGUCGCUGAUGGAUGGACCCGCGGUGCAUUAGCUAGUCGGUGGGGUAACGGCCUACCGAGGCAAUGAUGCAUAGCCGACCUGAGAGGGUGAUCGGCCACAUUGGGACUGAGACACGGCCCAAACUCCUACGGGAGGCAGCAGUAGGGAAUCUUCGGCAAUGGACGAAAGUCUGACCGAGCAACGCCGCGUGAGUGAUGAAGGUUUUCGGAUCGUAAAACUCUGUUGUUAGAGAAGAACAAGAGAAGUAGUAACUGGCUUCUCCUUGACGGUAUCUAACCAGAAAGCCACGGCUAACUACGUGCCAGCAGCCGCGGUAAUACGUAGGUGGCAAGCGUUGUCCGGAUUUAUUGGGCGUAAAGCGCGUCUAGGCGGAAAAGAAAGUCUGAUGUGAAAAUGCGGGGCUCAACUCCGUAUUGCGUUGGAAACUGCUUUUCUAGAGUACUGGAGAGGUGGGCGGAACUACAAGUGUAGAGGUGAAAUUCGUAGAUAUUUGUAGGAAUGCCGAUGGAGAAGUCAGCUCACUGGACAGAUACUGACGCUGAAGCGCGAAAGCGUGGGGAGCAAACAGGAUUAGAUACCCUGGUAGU
rnacentral:rRNA from 1 species